rnacentral:rRNA from 1 species
GAUCGCCUACGGGGGGCAGCAGUGAGGAAUAUUGGUCAAUGGGCGAGAGCCUGAACCAGCCAAGUCGCGUGAAGGAUGGCGGCCCUACGGGUUGUAAACUUCUUUUGUCAGGGAGCAAUUGGGUCCACGCGUGGGCUUAGCGAGAGUACCUGAAGAAAAAGCAUCGGCUAACUCCGUGCCAGCAGCCGCGGUAAUACGUAGGGUGCGAGCGUUAAUCGGAAUUACUGGGCGUAAAGGGUGUGCAGGCGGCUGAGUAAGACAGAUGGGAAAUCCCCGGGCUUAACCUGGGAACCGCAUAUGUGACU